rnacentral:rRNA from 1 species
GGGUGAGUAAUGCUUAGGAAUCUGCCUAUUAGUGGGGGACAACAUCUCGAAAGGGAUGCUAAUACCGCAUACGUCCUACGGGAGAAAGCAGGGGACCUUCGGGCCUUGCGCUAAUAGAUGAGCCUAAGUCGGAUUAGCUAGUUGGUGGGGUAAAGGCCUACCAAGGCGACGAUCUGUAGCGGGUCUGAGAGGAUGAUCCGCCACACUGGGACUGAGACACGGCCCAGACUCCUACGGGAGGCAGCAGUGGGGAAUAUUGGACAAUGGGGGGGAACCCUGAUCCAGCCAUGCCGCGUGUGUGAAGAAGGCCUUUUGGUUGUAAAGCACUUUAAGCGAGGAGGAGGCUACCGAGACUAAUACUCUUGGAUAGUGGACGUUACUCGCAGAAUAAGCACCGGCUAACUCUGUGCCAGCAGCCGCGGUAAUACAGAGGGUGCGAGCGUUAAUCGGAUUUACUGGGCGUAAAGCGUGCGUAGGCGGCUUUUUAAGUCGGAUGUGAAAUCCCUGAGCUUAACUUAGGAAUUGCAUUCGAUACUGGGAAGCUAGAGUAUGGGAGAGGAUGGUAGAAUUCCAGGUGUAGCGGUGAAAUGCGUAGAGAUCUGGAGGAAUACCGAUGGCGAAGGCAGCCAUCUGGCCUAAUACUGACGCUGAGGUACGAAAGCAUGGGGAGCAAACAGGAUUAGAUACC